rnacentral:rRNA from 2 species
CUUAAGCAUAUCAAUAAGCGGAGGAAAAGAAACCAACAGGGAUUGCCCUAGUAACGGCGAGUGAAGCGGCAACAGCUCAAAUUUGAAAUCUGGCAUCCGCCCGAGUUGUAAUUUGUAGAGGAUGCUUCUGGGCAGCGGCCGGUCUAAGUUCCUUGGAACAGGACGUCAUAGAGGGUGAGAAUCCCGUAUGCGACCGGUUGGCACCCGUCACGUAGCUCCUUCGACGAGUCGAGUUGUUUGGGAAUGCAGCUCUAAAUGGGAGGUAAAUUUCUUCUAAAGCUAAAUACCGGCCAGAGACCGAUAGCGCACAAGUAGAGUGAUCGAAAGAUGAAAAGCACUUUGGAAAGAGAGUUAAACAGCACGUGAAAUUGUUGAAAGGGAAGCGCAUGCCACCAGACUUGUCGGCGGUGUUCCGCCGGUCUUCUGACCGGUCCACUCGCCGCCGCCAGGCCAGCAUCGCUUGGGACCGCCGGACAAAGGCGUGGGGAAUGUGGCUCCCUCGGGAGUGUUAUAGCCCCGCGCACAAUACGGCGCGCCCCGAGCGAGGUCCGCGCUUCGGCUAGGAUGCUGGCGUAAUGGUGGUAUGCGGCCCGUCUUGAAACACGGACCAAGGAGUCUAACAUCUAUGCGAGUGUUCGGGUGUCAAACCCCUACGCGGAAUGAAAGUGAACGGAGGUGGGAACUUUUUUGUGCACCAUCGACCGAUCCUGAUGUCUUCGGAUGGAUUUGAGUAAGAGCAUAGCUGUUGGGACCCGAAAGAUGGUGAACUAUGCCUGAAUAGGGUGAAGCCAGAGGAAACUCUGGUGGAGGCUCGCAGCGGUUCUGACGUGCAAAUCGAUCGUCAAAUUUGGGUAUAGGGGCGAAAGACUAAUCGAACCAU